rfam:Daphnia pulex DAPPTscaffold_180_Cont6680, whole genome shotgun sequence.
GGGGGCAUAGCUCAGUGGUAGAACAUCCGACUGCAGAUCGGAUUGUCCCCGGUUCAAACCCGGGUGUCCCCU